UUCAACUUUCUGUAGCUUCUCAUCAGGGACUUGGACUAGACAAUCAAAGCCUCCAUAUUGCUCUGGGAUGGAAAACAAUAUAUCAGAUGUCCCGAAUGUAUGAGCUUGUUCGCCUUCCAUUGGCCAACUAUCAUUGGCUCGAAAGUAGCAUUGAGCAGCAGCAAUCACACCAUUUCAGUACCACAAUCUGAUCUUAUUUGAAGUGGACAACCUCUGUAUCUUCUAACAGCAUCCAAGUAGAACUGUGCAACUGAUUCAGGAGCAUUGUUUGACUUUACCACUUCCAACCAUAAAACAUUCCGGCUGAAGCCAUCAACAGCACCAUGGAUAGGAAAACCAAAUGGCUUCAAUUUAUCAUAUCCUGUUGGUAGUCAAUUAUAAUUCAUAUGCUAAAUUUUGUCACUGAAGUAAAUAUAUAAACAAAUUUUACAUGAAAAAACAUACCAUCAA